GGGUGUCGUACAACCAUUGUUCGUGCGACAGGUAAGCAUAGUGUGAUGGCCGGGCCGCCUCA
rnacentral:ncRNA from 1 species